ACUUUGUAUAUAUAGAUCUAUAGGUGUUACUGCUGUCUGUCUCCACUCUGGCAUUCGCUUGUGUGUGUGUUAAAGAAGUAGGAGCUGUGGCUUUGAGAUAGAUCUGUAGGUGUUACUGCUGUCUGUCUUUCUGGCACUCGGCUGAGACCGACACGUACAGGCUUACGGUCACAUUCCUCAUAGCUCUCCCACAGGGCCAGCGACAACGGGCUUCCAAUUUGCCAGUGACAACGACAAUAAAUCUGACGAGUCCGCUGUCGUUAAGAUGUAGAACCCGUCACCCCCACAACUCUUCGGCAAAGUAGCAAACCUUUGGAGAAUCGCGUACAAAGCUAUUGCAAGGCCAGUGUGAAAAGAGAAUUUUCACGCCGUCACACAGCUAAGCGAAAAAGAAUUCUUUUCACCUGUCCACCCAUCGAAGAAGGAACCAGCGUUGUCGCGGUUAGAUGUCACUGUGAGAUCCAUUGUCUUCGGGAUCUUAAAAACCUUUCUCGCUCGUAUCGAACUGGAUAUAUUCAAGGGACUGAGGAAUCGAAACGGGGCUUUUCUGAAUGUUGUGGAUUUGAAUAGAGCUAAGUAGGGUCGCUGGCUGAAUGCGUUUUGGGGUCUUUGGAGUCGCGGAUUGUUAUACCGAGGUAGGGAGAGCAAGACUACGUAGGUACAGUUGGGUAUACAAGCCGCGUGUUCUUUCAUCUGAGUGACAUUAUAGAUUUGAACCACGAUAUCAUGGAGGGCAAAAUAACUCGGGAAUAAUAAAGGUUGAUAAUCAAUACAUAGCGGAAACUUGCUGUAGGUGGCGAAGGGCACACUGCAUUAUUAACAUGUACGGCGCAAAGGUUGCACAUUGAUGUUCAGAGGGGACUUGUGCUGGUUUCUUUUUAAGUUUUUAUUUCUGAGAUCGUACGAGAAAAGACGAGUUUUUUUGUUUCUGAGAUCGUACGAGAAAGGACUUGUUUUUUUAAAAUAUUUUAUUUAUGAGAACAUGCGAGAAAGGACUUGUGCUGCUGCUGUUUCUAUUUCAGAGAUCGUUCCCUGCUUGCUUUCGACAUGUUCCAAUGUAAUAUAGGAUAACGGAUUCAAUAUUUUUGUGCCUUAUCAGAGCGGCGGAGGAGCAAAAAAUCGGAGUCACGAGGAAGCAAUACCUGGGUGUCUUUUUGUGGUGUCAACGAGGUUGGCUAAAGCAAACAGAUUAAGCAGGAGCUGGUGAAUACAGACAGGGCAGUGUUGUUACAAGGACAUUGUCUGAGUGUCUGGGCAAGACUGGGGCUAGGAGAGGCACAGUCGGGAAGGGAGGAAUGGGAGCCUCCCAGGAACUUUCUGCAUGACAGACAACAAGGCACUGGCAUAUUCCUCGGCGCCUGGCAUUUUUGUCCGAGAUACGAAGGGCGGAGGGAACGUAGUUGGUGUAUACGCAAAUACACUGGCGUAGUGGAGUCAAGAACAGACGAACAUACAGAUAGACACAUCCGAGAGAGAGAGAGAAAGAGAGAGAGAGAGAGAGAGA